rnacentral:rRNA from 1 species
GUGGGGAAUAUUGGACAAUGGGGGCAACCCUGAUCCAGCCAUGCCGCGUGAGUGAUGAAGGCCUUCGGGUUGUAAAGCUCUUUUGGCGGGGACGAUGAUGACGGUACCCGCAGAAUAAGCCCCGGCUAACUUCGUGCCAGCAGCCGCGGUAAGACGAAGGGGGCUAGCGUUGUUCGGAAUUACUGGGCGUAAAGCGAGUGUAGGCGGUUGUUAUAGUCAGGUGUGAAAGCCUUGAGCUCAACUCAAGAAAUGCACUUGAUACUGAACAGCUCGAGUACCGGAGAGGAUAGUGGAAUUCCCAGUGUAGUGGUGAAAUACGUAGAGAUUGGGAAGAACACCAGUGGCGAAGGCGGCUAUCUGGACGGUUACUGACGCUAAGACUCGAAAGCGUGGGGAGCAAACA